UUACAGUGUAGACAGCGCUGUUUACCAUUUAGCAUCCUGCAGUAAGAAGUAAUCAACAGAUCACAGAAAAGAAAUAAUGCCAAGGCGUUGCAUGCCUAAAAGUGGGACAAGACGAUAUGUUGUUCAAAGUAAACAAGCAAGCUUCAGUUAAAGCUGUCAAAUCUGGUAGAAUGUCACAACACGCAGCUAGUUCUUGCUUCAACAUUGCACGAACAACUUUACAAAAUGAAAUUAAUGGAAACCAUUUUUUGAAAGGAGGUCAGGCAGUUUUGACCACAGAAGAGAA